rnacentral:rRNA from 1 species
AGAGUUUGAUCCUGGCUCAGAACGAACGCUGGCGGCAUGGAUUAGGCAUGCAAGUCGAACGAAGAACUGGAAGCUUGCUUCCGGGGACGAGUGGCGAAAGGGUGAGUAACGCGUGAGUAAUCUGCCCUCAAGUUUGGAAUAACGUUGGGAAACCGACGCUAAUACCGGAUGUGGUUUUACUGUUGCAUAGCAGUUUAACUAAAGAUUUAUUGCUUGAGGAUGGGCUCGCGUCCCAUUAGCUAGUUGGUGAGGUAACUGCUCACCAAGGCAACGAUGGGUAGGUGGUCUGAGAGGAUGGUCACCCACACUGGGACUGAGACACUGCCCAGACUCCUACGGGAGGCUGCAGUCGAGAAUCUUCCGCAAUGCGCGAAAGCGUGACGGAGCGAUGCCGCGUGGUCGAUGAAGGCCUUCGGGUUGUAAAGACCUGUCACAUGGGACGAAUUUUGACGGUACCAUGAGAGGAAGCCACGGCUAACUACGUGCCAGCAGCCGCGGUAAUACGUAGGUGGCGAGCGUUGUUCGGAUUUAUUGGGCGUAAAGGGUCCGCAAGGGGUAUGUUAAGUCUGAUGUGAAAUCCCGGAGCUCAACUCCGGAACUGCAUUGGAAACUGACGUACUAGAGUGCUGGAGAGGUAAGCGGAAUUCCUGGUGUAGCGGUGGAAUGCGUAGAUAUCAGGAAGAACACCGAGAGCGAAGGCAGCUUACUGGACAGUAACUGACCCUCAGGGACGAAAGCGUGGGUAGCGAACAGGCUUAGAUACCCUGGUAGUCCACGCCGUAAACGUUGUGAACUUGUUGUGGGGGGAUUUAGCCCCCUCCGUGACGGAGCUAACGCAUUAAGUUCACCGCCUGGGGACUACGGCCGCAAGGCUAAAACUCAAAGGAAUUGACGGGGGCCCGCACAAGCGGUGGAGCAUGUGGCUUAAUUCGAGGCAACGCGAAGAACCUUACCUGGGCUUGAAAUAUACCGGAUCAUCCAUGGAAACAUGGACUUCCUUCGGGACUGGUAUACAGGUGCUGCAUGGCUGUCGUCAGCUCGUGCCGUGAGGUGUUCGGUUAAGUCCGGCAACGAGCGCAACCCGUGUCAUCAAUUGCCAGCGCGUAAUGGCGGGGACUUUGGUGAGACUGCCCGUGUCAAGCGGGAGGAAGGCGCGGAUGACGUCAAGUCAGUAUGGCCCUUAUGUCCAGGGCUGCACACGUGCUACAAUGGCCGGUAUAAUGGGCAGCAAUACCGCGAGGUGGAGCAAAUCCUUAAAACCGGUCUUAGUUCGGAUUGGAGUCUGCAACUCGACUCCAUGAAGUUGGAAUCGCUAGUAAAGGCGUAUCAGCUACGACGCCUUGAAUACGUUCCCGGGCCUUGUACACACCGCCCGUCACAUCAUGGAAGCUGAUUGCACCCGAAGUCGUUGACCCAACCCUUUACGGGAGGGAGACGCCGAAGGUGUGGUUGGUAACUGGGAUGAAGUCGUAACAAGGUA